ACAACAAAAUAAAAACAACGACCCACGCGCACACGUUCCUCACCCCACCCUUCUCGCUCCCGAUCCCAUCUUCCCACCGGCCUCAACUUGGCGGCUAUGGCGACGGGAGACGAGGAUCAACAACUCCUCUCCUCUGCCUUCUCCACCACCGCCCGCCACACGCCUCCCCGCGUCCCUCCUUCAUCCCCGUCCCCGAUUGGGCCGCCGCCGCCACCGCACCAUCAGGGGACGCCGUGGGAGUGCAACCACCGCGCCGCCAGGGUACGCCGCGUGUACCGGCCGGCAAUGCGUGAGCCGCCACAGGUACCGCGCCGAUCGAUGCUUCUGACGAUGCGGGAGCCGCCCCAUCCGGCGAGGACGAGGUGCGCCGUCACUGCUGAUCCUCAGGGCGCAUGCUGCAUCUAAAGCCUCCCUAAUGCGCUCCUCCACUCCGCUUCUAACACGUACUUCGUACCUGGCUCCCCGCUGCCAUGCGCCGCUGAGCUCUGGAGCCGCCCCUGUCGAAGCCCAUCGCCAGCCAUCCUUGGGUGGGCCGGCGCCGAAACUCGGGUCCCAGUGGCAUCCCCGCUCGAGGUCCUUCUCCACUUCAUCUUCUGCAGAGUUCCUGAUUUCCUCACUUCUCCUGAGGUGAAGUCUAUUGAUGAUGUGCCAAUGUGAAGGUGGUCAACUUAUAUGGAAGCUCAUCUAUUUAGCAUGCUUUUGUUUUAACUGUAUACAAACUGCAUGUUCGCAAAGACUGUGGAACAAUUCUGGUAAGUUCCUCGUGAGUCAUUUAAAAUCUCAUGGUCUUGCAUUAUAUAGAUCAGUGAACCAAAAUAUAUCAUUGUUCCAUUAAUGAACCAUAGAAAUACAGGUAGUAUGUCUGCCUGUACGGGACCUAAGCCACAUUGAUCACUAUAUCUGAGUACCUCUAUGGUUUUGUCUAUUCAGUUAGAUGGACUUGCUAUCACAUGAGAAUACAAUUACCAUGUGUGUUUUGUUAUUCGGGAAGUAUGCUUGAGAUUUCAUUUUUGUCCCAGCAUUGGAUUGAAGUUGCGGAUCAGGAAGCAGUUUUUAUUCCAGCAGUGGAUCGAGUACUUCUAAACACAGUUAAAGAGUAAGUGUUGGCACAAAGAAUCAUUAUAGGAAUAUAAUGAAUAUCGUGCCUUACUAUCAAGAUGAAUAACAGUCGACUCAGAUAGUGUUUGAUUAUGUUUCUCCUACAGCUACCUGCUCAACAUCUGAACGACUCUGACUGCUGAGUACAAGUCCAUCUAUAAGGAUCUAGAACACCGUAUGGAAUUCCGAAAGGCAUUCUGUGGCGAUAAACACAUGACCAGCAAGGGGCCCUGCCCCCUCCCAAUACUAUGGAUUUGUUCCUAAUAAAUACAUGAACAGUGCAACAUUUGACUUGUUUCCUGCUCUAACCGGCCCUCCCCAAGAUCCUAAUUCCACUAAUCCUGCCUCCGCCACUGCAGGCAUGCCGACCUUUUGUUAAUUUCUAUACUUUUGAGGAUGCAUCACUAAAAAGACUAGAAGAGAGAUUUAGUUAAGACUUAAUUAACAGUUAUGUAUCUGAAGACUGACAUUUGAAAUCAAAGGUUUCAUGUCAAUGAUGGAAUGCUACCAAAUUAUGUUCCAAGAAAAAUGAUUUCUGCCUCAACUGACUACAUGCAUGUUGAAUUGUUGACCCGACUUGAUGGACUAUAUAAGUGCUCUUCUCCUUGGGAAUUUGAAUGCACGCCCCUUCUAAGCAUCGCACAAUAUAUAGGCUUAUAUAUGUGGUAGUAGUCAUUGGUACAAGCAUGUGUGCAUUAGACCAGAAAAUGCUUAAGUUGCCUUUGAUACUGAUAUGGUAUCCCCUAUAAGUGUAUGAUAUUAAAUAGGUUUCUAUUGAUUCAUCAACAGAGAAAUUUAUGUCAAUUGAUUUAAUGUUGA